rnacentral:piRNA from 1 species
GGCAGAGCAAUCAAAUGUUUG